rnacentral:rRNA from 1 species
UUCCUACGGGGGGCAGCAGUGGGGAAUAUUGGGCAAUGGGCGCAAGCCUGACCCAGCAACGCCGCGUGAAGGAAGAAGGCUUUCGGGUUGUAAACUUCUUUUAAGGGGGAAGAGCAGAAGACGGUACCCCUUGAAUAAGCCACGGCUAACUACGUGCCAGCAGCCGCGGUAAUACGUAGGUGGCAAGCGUUGUCCGGAUUUACUGGGUGUAAAGGGCGUGCAGCCGGGACUGCAAGUCAGAUGUUAAAUCCGCGGGCUUAACCCGCGAACUGCAUUUGAAACUGCGGAUCUUGAGUACCGGAGAG